rnacentral:rRNA from 1 species
UACGUAGGGUGCAAGCGUUAAUCGGAAUACUGGGCGUAAGGCGUGCGCAGGCGGUUAUGUAAGACAGAUGUGAAAUGCCCGGGCUUAACCUGGGAACUGCAUUUGUGACUGCAUGGCUAGAGUUUGGCAGAGGGGGGUAGAAUUCCACGUGUAGCAGUGAAAUGCGUAGAUAUGUGGAGGAACACCGAUGGCGAAGGCAGCCCCCUGGGUCAAGACUGACGCUCAUGCACGAAAGCGUGGGGAGCAAACAGG